UGGGGAAUAUUGCACAAUGGGCGCAAGCCUGAUGCAGCGACGCCGCGUGGGGGAUGACGGCCUUCGGGUUGUAAACUCCUUUCGCUAGGGAAGAAGCCACUUGUGGUGACGGUACCUGGAUAAGAAGCACCGGCUAACUACGUGCCAGCAGCCGCGGUAAUACGUAGGGUGCGAGCGUUGUCCGGAAUUACCGGGCGUAAAGAGCUCGUAGGUGGUUUGUCGCGUCGUCUGUGAAAUCCCGGGGCUUAACUUCGGGCGUGCAGGCGAUACGGGCAUAACUAGAGUGCUGUAGGGGAGACUGGAAUUCCUGGUGUAGCGGUGAAAUGCGCAGAUAUCAGGAGGAACACCGAUGGCGAAGGCAGGUCUCUGGGCAGUUACUGACGCUGAGGAGCGAAAGCAUGGGUAGCGAACAG
rnacentral:rRNA from 1 species